UACGAAGGGGGCUAGCGUUGCUCGGAAUCACUGGGCGUAAAGGGUGCGUAGGCGGGUCUUUAAGUCAGGGGUGAAAUCCUGGAGCUCAACUCCAGAACUGCCUUUGAUACUGAGGAUCUUGAGUAUGGGAGAGGUGAGUGGAACUGCGAGUGUAGAGGUGAAAAUUCGUAGAUAUUCGCAAGAACACCAGUGGCGAAGGCGGCUCACUGGCC
rnacentral:rRNA from 1 species